CUACGGGGGGCUCCAGUAGGGAAUAUUGCACAAUGGACGAAAGUCUGAUGCAGCAACGCCGCGUGUGCGAUGAAGGCCUUCGGGUCGUAAAGCACUUUUUGAGAGGAUGAGAAAGGACAGUACUCUCAGAAUAAGUCUCGGCUAACUACGUGCCAGCAGCCGCGGUAACACGUAGGAGGCAAGCGUUAUCCGGAUUUACUGGGCGUAAAGCGCGUGCAGGUGGUUUGGUAAGUUGGAUGUGAAAUCUCCCGGCUCAACUGGGUGAGGUCGUUCAAAACUGCUAGACUAGAGGACGGUAGAGGAAGGCGGAAUUCCCGGUGUAGUGGUGAAAUGCGUAGAUAUCGGGAGGAACACCAGUGGCGAAAGCGGCCUUCUAGCCCGUGCCUGACACUAAGACGCGAAAGCUAGGGUAGCAAACGGGAUUAGAUACCCGGGUAGUC
rnacentral:rRNA from 1 species